UGGCGAGAGCGUGGCAAGCGGCGGCGGCCCGCGUCUGCCUGUCCGCCCGCCCUGCUCGCUCUCUCGCCUCC
rnacentral:precursor_RNA from 1 species